rnacentral:rRNA from 1 species
AUUUUAUGGAGAGUUUGAUCCUGGCUCAGGACGAACGCUGGCGGCGUGCCUAAUACAUGCAAGUCGAGCGGACCUUUCAAAAGCUUGCUUUUGAAAGGUUAGCGGCGGACGGGUGAGUAACACGUGGGCAACCUGCCCUAUAGUUUGGGAUAACUCCGGGAAACCGGGGCUAAUACCGGAUAAUACAAUUUA